UACGAAGGGGGCUAGCGUUGCUCGGAAUCACUGGGCGUAAAGCGCACGUAGGCGGCUUCUUAAGUCAGGGGUGAAAUCCUGGAGCUCAACUCCAGAACUGCCUUUGAUACUGAGAAGCUUGAGUCCGGGAGAGGUGAGUGGAACUGCGAGUGUAGAGGUGAAAUUCGUAGAUAUUCGCAAGAACACCAGUGGCGAAGGCGGCUCUCUGGGACGGUACUGACGCUGAGGUGCGAAAGCGUGGGGAGCAAACAGG
rnacentral:rRNA from 1 species